rnacentral:lncRNA from 1 species
UUUAUUUCAAAGACUUAAUAAUUUAUAAUUCAUAAGAAACUCAAAUCUUUAGACAACUAAAAAAAUACUAAUCAAUAGAACACUUUGCAAGUAAUUUAAAGCCAAAGUUGUUCAAUAACUUAAAAUAAAACUCAAAUUAUUUAAUUGGACAAUGAAGGAAAUGUAACUGUCACACCACAUGUACAACAAUGGGGAUGAUGAUUAAGGGUCUGAUAUUUUUUAAUUGAGUGGCUAUAACUGUCACACCACAUUCUUUGUACAACCGAUAAUAAAGAAAUGGUAGAUUCAUCUUACAUUGAGGCGGUUGAAAAUUAAUUUUAUAAAUAAUUUAAAAUAACCUCAAUUUAAUUCCGUUUAUAUUGCAUGCAAAAUAUUUUAGAGAACUACACUCAUUUUCUUGUUUAUCCUUCUCUGCAAGAUUUUCUAAGCAACACUGUUUAGAGUUAUGGUUUUAGUAACACAUUGGUAGUAUUUGAGACAUUUAAGGUUUAGAAACAAAAUAUUCUAAGUAAGAGUAGUUUCUUCAAUAAUUC